AAAAAAGCUGAGCCCUGCGCCGAAAUGGAAGGUUUGGUGAUACGCAUGGAGCCAAUGAAAGGGCACUUGUGUCAGAAAGAAUAAUGACUCACUCACACACUCACGCACUAGUUUGACUCUGUACAAUUUUCCGUCCCCCUUUUACUCCCAAACAUACAAACCUCGAUUUCCGUUCCCCCUAAUUCCCUUUUCUUUCACGAUGGAAUCUCGCAAAUUAGCCACCAUUCUCUCCUCCCUCAUCUCCCAACUCCUCCUUCUCCUCCUCCACAACAUUUUCCCUUUCCCCCCAAAUUCCGUCCCUCCAAACAAUUCCACUGAUUCCAUCCUCCCGCUCCUCCUCUUCUCCCACCAACUCGCCGCCACACUCUCCCUCUCCCCCAAACACCGCAAAAACAAACGCAAACGCGAUUUUCAACACCCCAAUCCCCUCACCCGCACCCCGGACUCCUUCCGCAACACCUUCCUCAUGUCCUCCUCCUCCUUCGAGUGGCUCUCCGGCCUCCUGGAGCCCCUCCUCGAGUGCCGCGACCCCGCCCCCCUCUUCCACUCCCUCCACCUCUCCUCCGGCGCCCGCCUCGCCAUCGGCCUCUCCCGUCUCGCCGAGGGCCAGGACUACCAACAAAUCUCCGCCCGCUUCGCCGUCUCCGACCCCGUCGCUAAAUUCUGCGUCAAGCAACUCUGCCGCGUCCUCUGCACCAACUUCCGCUUCUGGGUCUCCUUCCCCUCCCCUUCCGACCUCCCCUCCAUCUCCCAAUCCUUCCAAUCCCUCUCCGGCCUCCCCAAUUGCUGUGGCGCCGUCCUAUGCACCCGCUUUAAUAUAGUAGUCAACGCCAAUAGCACCACCACCACCACCACCACCAACGACAAAGUCUCAGUUUCUCAAGUCGCCGCCCAAAUAGUCGUCGAUUCCUCUUCCCGGAUCCUCACCAUCGCCGCCGGCUUCCUCGGACACAAAUCCGAUUCCCAAAUUCUACAAGCCUCCACUCUUUACAACGACAUCCAGCAGGGAACCCUCCUAAACGCGCCGUGUAAUCAGUUUCUAAUCGGCGAUUCAGAGUAUCCUCUGCUUCCCUGGCUUAUGGUUCCCUAUGCAAACCCUGCUCCUGCCUCUGCUGAAGAGAAUUUCAACUCUGCUCAUGAAAUCAUGCGGCUUCCCGCGCUCAGAGCCGCGGCGAGUCUAAGGAAUUGGGGGGUUCUGAGUCGACCGGUGUGUGAGGAGCUUAAGACGGCCGUGGCUUACAUUGGCGCGUGCUCCAUUCUUCACAAUAGUUUGCUGAUGAGGGAGGAUUUUUCCGCUCUGGCUUCGGAGUUUGAGGAUUGUAAUCAAGGUUGUUAUGGCGAGCCUUGUAAUGCUAUGUUGGAUGGUGAGGCUGUGUCUUCCAAGGCUUUGGCUUUGCGUGACAAUUUGGCUGCCGUGGCAAAGAAAAUUCGUGACUCGAAGAAUUCUUGAUUGGUUAAAGAAAGAUUGGUGAAUGGUGUAUGCGAUUUUUCAGGUUGAAUUUGUUGUUAUGGUGGACGCGGGAGUGUAAAUAUUACUGCCUCUUGAGCAUUGGUUUUUGUUUAAUUAUUGCUCGAGAAAUGGUUCUUCUUUUGUUCUGUGAAUUGAUCCGCGUCUACAAUGUCUGAGGCCAUUGAUUCAUAUUUUUUAUGUUACUUACUCCUUUGGGUUCAAUUUACAUGGACAUGGUGUUUAUAUUGGAUAGUUUUAUCUUUUAUGUUGGGUUUGAAUGAACUCUAGAGUUUUCUGUUGUUUAGUUGUGUCUUGCCCAUUUUGCAAUUUGUGUCAUAAGGAACCAUAGUGCACCCAAAUUUGGUGUACUAGGUUUAUGUGAAAGUGUUUCUCACCUUUUUGUGACCGUAGUUUUUAAGUUUCGUUGGCCCCAUUAGCAUUUAGACAAACCACUAUUGCAUGAAAGAAUUAAAAAAGAACCAUUACUGCUUGUAGAGUGCAUUCUCCAUUCAUUGCUUUGCAACCAUUUGAUAUUGCCGUGUGACAAAUCUUUUUUAUUUUCAACAAAUGGCAGACACAAUUGAACUCGUUUGUGUUGCCCUUAGUUUUGGUUUGACUUAAUUUCUUCAGGGUUUUCUGUGGGAUGAUGGAUGUAGAGAUUGAUGGAAUGUGUAAAUUUCAAUAUGAGAACAUUGUUCUUUGCAGAAUGCGCACACGAUGCAUGGGAGUUGCAGUAAUGAAGGAUUUGGUAAUUGGAGGAUAAAUUAUGCAAAACUUGAUCCCUGCUGACUGUAAAUGACACCAACCGGAUGAAUUGAAGGACAGGCACCCCAGUGUUUUGACUAUAAUUUGAUGAGAUAGCAACAGAUCACUCUGGGAAAAGUCUAUGAAAUUAAGGCUGUACCAAUGGUAUUGUUUUUGAAAAAUGACUGGAAAUGUUACACUGUAUGUGAUACCAUGCUAAUGUAGUUUAAUGUGGCAGCCAAUGAGAUAUGUGAGGGUGUUGAAGUCCUAAACGUGGAUCGGUUCAGAAAUGGGUAUAAACAUUUGCUCUUGAA